CAGUUAAAGUCGAGGACGGAGCCCGGCUCAUGUAGGGGUCUGGGCGGAAUCUUCCUGUGGUCGAUUCUGCUGAGGAUUUCGACUGUGGGUAUUUUUAUAUCCAACACCAGUCCCCCUACUUCCGAGUUUGAAUCUCAAACGAAGGAAGUACAGAGAGAGAGAUGGGCACAGCCGAAGCCGUCCCCUCGAAUCUUGCGCACCACCGCCCCC
rnacentral:lncRNA from 1 species